CUUACCUUUAAGUUGCAGGACGGUGGCUGGGGAUGAUAGGAGCGGAUGCCUCUGGUGUGGUGUCAUCUCCUGUCCUGUCUUCUCCUCUCCCUCUCCCCCGCGCGCAGUAAGCUGGGAGGAAGAGACCGGCCGUCACUUUCUCCCACAAGCACUUGCGGUGUAGCCGCAAUUUUUUUUAAAGUGGCCCGGUCGCACAAUUACACGCCCGCAGCGCUGACCGGGCCCCUAAAGAUAUAGGGCCCAUCGGGUGGCCCUAAAUGCUUGGGCCACCUGAUGGGCCCCGGUGCAGAUGCACCUGCGGCAGUUUCGCCGAUCCACGUGGGGCCCGGGCCGCCGGGCCAGUGACAACCGUUAUGGUUGUCACCCCCUGAUGGCGGCCCUGCCUGACCGGGCCCCUGUUCAUCAAUAAUACCAAGCAGGUGGCCCUAAGUGCAUGGGCCACAUGUUGGGGGCCCCCCUAGCAUGCAGGCCCAGUGCAGCCGCACCAGCUAUGCUGGCGGUAUUUGCGCCACUGUUUACAGUACUUAAAAAAACAAUUAACAGCAGAUUUAACCACACCUCCAGUCAGAGAUAUUCUAAGCACACUGUAAUCCAAAAUCACAAUGUUAUACAGAUAUCAUUGGGUUCCCAGGAAUUAUGAGAACAAAUGUUCUCGGUCAGACCAUAAGCGGUAAGGGUGCUCUGGAUUUUUAUCCAGAAUGUCUUUCUGCAGCAGGAAACACUCUUAUUUAGGUGUGAAACAGUGUCAAUAACGACAAAUUUUAGUGUGGUCAAAGGAUGUCUAUUUCUAAGAACUCUUUGGCCAAUGUCAUUCCAUCUCGAUAAGCCAUGUUGAUAGCUGACCUUUGAACCUGGUGUUUGUUCCAUGAGUGUCAGGUCUGUCUUUUCAUUAUAAUCAAGUCCACACGUACAAUUUUUUUUUAAAUCAUGUAUUCUCUUGUACAAGUGAAUUAUUCAAAAUAGUUUAUUCUUGUGUGGAUGCUCAAAGUUUGUGUCUGGGUCAUAUGGGCACAUGUGACACAACCACUACAUCAGUAGCAGCUGGUCUUAUUAGAGGCAUUAUGUUGCCAAUUAUUCUAAUAACAGUAGUGUGGAUCCAUUAAAACCACCAAGUCACAUAUACUUUUCUCUCUAGAAAAAAACAUCACAAUAACACAGUAAUAAGUUAUAUAUUUUUUUGUUUUUUGUUUUUUAAAGGCCUCAGCAUUCUUAAAGGAAUACUCAAAGUACCAUAAAUACAAGAGUAUACUGUUGUGAGUAAGGUGGCAGGAGGGCUCUGUUGCCUCCGUUGUAAGUAGUUAAAUAGUUUUAAAAGGGUUUG